GACAGAGGUGCCGAGCGUUAGGCGGAAUCACUGGGCUUAAAGCGUGUGUAGGCGGAUUUGUAAGUACCUUGUGAAAUCCCAUGGCUCAACCAUGGAACUGCUCGGUAUACUGCUUAUCUUGGAGCCACUUAGGGGCAGUCGGAACAGAUGGUGGAGCGGUGAAAUGCGUAGAUAAUCAAUCUGGAACGCCAAAGGUGAAAACAGACUGCUGGGAGUGUGCUGACGCUGGAGAACACGAAAGCCUAGGGGAGCGAACGGG
rnacentral:rRNA from 1 species